rnacentral:rRNA from 1 species
GAUGAACGCUGGCGGCGUGCUUAACACAUGCAAGUCGAACGAUGAAGCCCAGCUUGCUGGGUGGAUUAGUGGCGAACGGGUGAGUAACACGUGAGUAACCUGCCCUUGACUCUGGGAUAAGCCUGGGAAACUGGGUCUAAUACUGGAUAUGACUUCUCAUCGCAUGGUGGGCGGUGGAAAGAUUUAUUGGUCUUGGAUGGACUCGCGGCCUAUCAGCUUGUUGGUGAGGUAAUGGCUCACCAAGGCGACGACGGGUAGCCGGCCUGAGAGGGUGACCGGCCACACUGGGACUGAGACACGGCCCAGACUCCUACGGGAGGCAGCAGUGGGGAAUAUUGCACAAUGGGCGCAAGCCUGAUGCAGCGAAGCCGCGUGAGGGAUGACGGCCUUCGGGUUGUAAACCUCUUUCAGUAGGGAAGAAGCGAGAGUGACGGUACCUGCAGAAGAAGCGCCGGCUAACUACGUG